rnacentral:rRNA from 1 species
UACGUAGGGGCCGAGCGUUGUCCGGAGUUAUUGGGCGUAAAGCGCGCGCAGGCGGCCUCGCGCGCCCGACGUGAAAGCCCCCCGGCUUAACCGGGGAGGGUCGUUGGGGGACGGCGGGGCUUGAGGGCGGGAGAGGGUGGUGGAAUUCCCGGUGUAGUGGUGAAAUGCGUAGAGAUCGGGAGGAACACCCGUGGCGAAGGCGGCCACCUGGGCCGACCCUGACGCUGAGGCGCGAAGGCGUGGGGAGCGAACGGG